GACGAACGCUGGCGGCAUGCCUAACACAUGCAAGUCGAACGGAGAUUAUUUCGGUAAUCUUAGUGGCGAACGGGUGAGUAACGCGUGGGCAACCUGCCCUCUAGAUGGGGACAACAUCCCUAAAGUGGUGCUAAUACCGAAUUUGACAGCAAUCUCUCAUGAGGAUGCUGUGAAAGAUGGCCUCUAUUUAUAAGCUAUCGCUAGAGGAUGGGCCUGCGUCUGAUUAGCUAGUUGGUGGGGUAACGGCCUACCAAGGCGAUGAUCAGUAGCCGGUCUGAGAGGAUGAACGGCCACAUUGGGACUGAGACACGGCCCAGAAUCCUACGGGAGGCAGCAGUGGGGAAUCUUCCGAAAUGGGCGAAAGCCUGACGGAGCAAUGCCGCGUGAGUGAUGAAGGAAUUCGUUCCGUAAAGCUCUUUUGUUUAUGACGAAUGUGCAGAUUGUGAAAAAUGAUCUGUAAUGACGGUAGUAAACGAAUAAGCCACGGCUAACUACGUG
rnacentral:rRNA from 1 species